CUGUAGAUACGAAAAACUGAGCUGGAUUAAGCAAUGUCCUGUCUCUCGUUGGCAUAUACUAAUGACUUUCUAAAUUUUAAUUUUGUUUUUCCUUUUUUCCUUAUAAAAGCAAUUAUUCGUGACAAAAAGAAAAGAAAAAAAAAAUGUUAUUCUUUCCAGUUUAUCGUUGUGCACGAUCACUAUUCACUGUUGUUUACGUGAAUUCCUACUAAUUAAAAUGCACCCAACUAAGAAUGAUAUUUCAG
rnacentral:lncRNA from 1 species